UACGUAGGGGGCAAGCGUUGUCCGGAUUUAUUGGGCGUAAAGAGCGUGUAGGCGGCCAGACAGGUCAGCUGUGAAAACUCGAGGCUCAACCUCGAGACGUCGGUUGAAACCGUCUGGCUAGAGUCCGGAAGAGGAGAGUGGAAUUCCCGGUGUAGCGGUGAAAUGCGCAGAUAUCGGGAGGAACACCAGUGGCGAAGGCGACUUCCUGGCCUGUUCUUGACGCUGAGGCGCGAAAGCUAGGGGAGCAAACGGG
rnacentral:rRNA from 1 species